CGAGGCGGCGCGGAGCCCUCUACUCUUGUGAUCCGCGUCGGUCACCUUCAUCGCCACCGCGAGCCACCUUCUCCUCCGCCGCCAAGAAUCCCAUCCCCGGCAAGUAUGUUUUUUGAGUCAGACUGUCAGACUAUGAUCCAUGCACUUAAGGGAAGGGAUUGUGAUGCUGUUGAACUGGGAGUCCUUUACCAUGAAGCCAGAAGUUUGGUGUUGGCUGAUGUUCUCCUUAGCGUCUGGGCACUUCAGGCCCCUUACUUAAUUCGUUUCAAUUUUGCAUGUGAUGGUGCAGGAGGACGGGCUUCCUGGACAAGAAGAUCUCUGUACUCUUCUCAAUGGUGUAAAGUUGAGGAUUGUGCUGUAAUUUGGGGAGAGAUGGAGAACAUGAGCCUUGGCUACCUGAAGUAGAUCCUUCCUUAAGCGUCAGAUGCCUUCUGUUUCAGUAAUGACUUAGGAUAAAGACGAAGCAGAGAACAUAAUCUUGGUGAAGGCAUCUCAAUGGAGAUGGGAGAGUGUUGCACAAGUGGAUUUAUUGGGUUGGGGAAAUAGAUAAAAUAUCUUGCUUGGUUUUUGUAUUCUCUUUCUAAUGUAUUUUUUAUGUAUUAUCAGCAUGGAAUAGAUGAUAGAUACCUCCCACUUAAGUUUGAACUUCUAUAUGUUUCAUAAUAUGGUUGGAUAUCGCUGGCUUAUACAUUAUGUUUCAUUUUUUUCC